AUUGAGAGUUUGAUCCUGGCUCAGGACGAACGCUGGCGGCGUGCUUAACACAUGCAAGUCGAGCGAUGAAGCUCCUUCGGGAGUGGAUUAGCGGCGGACGGGUGAGUAACACGUGGGUAACCUGCCUCAUAGAGGGGAAUAGCCUUUCGAAAGGAAGAUUAAUACCGCAUAAGAUUGUAGUACCGCAUGGUACAGCAA
rnacentral:rRNA from 1 species